UCCCUGGUGGCUCAGAGGUUAAAGUAUCUGCCUGCAAUGUGGGAGACCCGGGUUCGAUCCCUGGGUUGGGAA
rnacentral:tRNA from 1 species